AAAAAUAUAUAUAUAUUGUUUAUCUGAAAUUCAAAUUUCCCUGAGCAUCCUGCAUUUUUAUGUAUUAAACCUAAUAUCCUUACUAAAAGAUGACUAGGUCCAGGCACUCUACUAAGAACUGAGCAUGGGACACAAAAUAGAUCCAAUCAUUGUCCUUGUGGCAUGUCCAAUGACUGAGGCAGGCAUUAAUGGAAAUACUGCCCAGGUGACUCUAACUAGUGUAUUGUGAUAAUUUCUUAGGGAGGAAAAGGACAGUGCUCAAUAGCAGGACCUAACCUGGGCUGGAGAACUAGUGAAAGUUCCCCAAGGAAAGGAUAUUUAGAGAUCUGAGGUUCAGGGAGGAUUUAAUUAAAUAAAUAGAAAGGGAAUGGGACUUUGGGGGGCAGAAAGGGCAAUAUUUGUGAAAUGAUUUUUAGGUAGGAGGAAUUAUGGGAAUUACGGUCUGCAGGGGAACAGGCAGCAGUGUUGCUGGACCUCAGAGAAGGGGAGAGAGAAAGAGAGGAGAGGCUGGAGGGGUGGGCAAGGGCCAGGACAAUCAGGGUCCUGCAGGUCGUGCUUAGCGCACCCAGCUUUGUUCUAGAUAAAUGCAAAGUCAUUGAGGGGCUUAAAGUAGGGGUUGAGAAGAUCAGGUUUCUAAAAGGUACCCCGUUUAGUGGUGGAGAGUUUGGGACCUGGGAAGAACUAGGGGACCUGCAACCCAGAUAAUAAAUGGCAGUGACUUGGACCAUCAUCCGUCGGUCCUGUCCCAGUGCUGAGGAGAGAGAAGAUUUGAAUGCAGUGUCUUUCCUGUUUCCUUAGGCUGUCAGCCUUUUCUCCUUCUCGUACAGAACUGAUCUUCUCACGCGGCCACCCAGUUUCUCAUGGGGAGACCUACAACUGAAACCCAGCUCCUGCAGCGGGGAGAGCUCGCCGUGCCUACUGUCGCAGUAGUGGAGCACACUCAACAGCUCCAGGGGGGCCCUAGAUGCACUGAGCCCAAAUCAAAUUCCUGGCAACGCCAAAUGCUGAUUUCAUUCCGCCUCCAAGACACGCUGAAUGAGCCCACUCCUUCUUCCAUGCUGCAGUAAUUUUUUUAAAAAGACAUUUGAACAUGGGUCCUGUACAAUUCCACUUGACCCAUGAGCCUCUCUCAUUCUUUGUGGGCACCUUCUCCAUCAGUUUCUUUCACCCAGGAACUAGCUCUCCAGUGAGGGGUCCUUUCUUGGAUUGACGACCAUUAAAGGGAAGUAGAUGUGCUGACAGGUAAGAUCCGGGGCAGGAUAUUUGCUGGGACGCUUUGGCCUCUGGGAAGUCAAUGCAGGAAUACUUCAGUUUCUGAAGAUUAAAUUGGGUUUUACUAAUGGCUUGAAUUUCCUAUGGGCAGAGAGAGUGGAAAGUAAUACAAGGAAAGGAGAUUUCAAUCCAACACUUGAUAGACUCCCCCAGAAGACUGAGCCCCAGAUGGUGCCUCUGUGCCCAGGUGUGCUGCUGUUGAAACCAUAAUCAGGCCCCCUCCCUGCUGAGUUAGCAAGAAGGUGUUUUUUAAUCUAAUGCAAGUGUAAUUAAAUCCUUUUUCAUCUUGAGGAGAACCGUUUGCUUGGAGGGUUCUCACAGAGCAAAAAUUCUCUUAGUUUGCUGUUGAACUCUGCCAUUUUGCCAAUCUGAUCUCGAGUGUGGGCUUCACCUCUCCGAGCCUCAAUCUGCUCAGUUAUAAAAUGGCACUUGGUCCUGUUUGCUUGGUAGAAUCCCUGUUGUGUGGACACCCUUCCAGCUCCUUUUCACCUGGUCAGCCCUGACUCUAGCCGGAAAAAUUAUCUGUGACAUUAGUUCUUUGGAAGAGUCCCCGGACUUCCUGACCCCACAGACUAGAAUAGAUCCCCACAGAGGUGCUGCCACAGAUCAUCAUAUCUUCCUUCUUGUAGGACUCCUGAUACCUCGGGCUGUGUGCCUAGUUCUCCAUCCCUUCAGGACUGCAGGGACUAUGAGAGGAGGAAGAAUACCCACCCUGUCUCCUGCCUCGUCCAGUGUCUGGAACCCACUUAUUUUUGCCAAUUGAUAUCCUUCCCUUGCCUGCUGCAGAGAACCGCUGGCUUCCAUAAAUCACCUUCCAAAGUCACAGGUGAAGGCCAUGUUAACCCCUGCUUUGAUGGAAGCUUCUGUGGCAACAACGGUACCAGCACUACUGACUCAGAGAGAAAGCGGGUCCUUCACUAGAGGCAGAAGAGGCGGAGGCGCUCUGCGGAAUCACCCACCAACGAGCCUAUAAAGGAAUCUGAAAACAGCUGGUGUUAUCAUGCCGAAACCCCAUGGGCUCAGGAAGGAUUCAACUACAGCUCCUCGGACUGAGCUCAUUUCUCACCCUGUCUCGUUAGGAGUGGUCAUCAGCGCCUGCAGCCGGAGCCUAUCAUCCGCUCACACCUCCCGCUCACAGGUGACAGCCCCGCUGGCCGCUCCAUCCCGCGCCCGAUGUCAAUUUCUCGCAGACAAACAGUGGGGCUUUUUCUAAGAAACGAAACAUGUGCUGUUUGUUCAACCAAUAUUUACUGAGCACCCUGCUGCAUGCAUCCCUGUGUGCUAGGUGCUUUGGGGAAGAGAAUGAACAGUCCUAUAAUGUGCUAAGUAUGACAUUAGAUACUUCUUGCACAUUAUCCUAUUAUUAUCAUUACUGUUGCUGCUAAUGUUGUUAUUAUUUAAGGCUACCUUGAAUUGAGCAUUAAUGGCCAUACCAAAUUUUUAUCAGGCACUUUGCAGUUCUUAGGUAAUGAUGAUGAUAAUGAUUAUACUCCCACCCUCCAAAGCUCAUGCCCACCCAGAAUCUCAGAAUUUGAUCUCAUUUGGAAAUAGGGUCUUUGUAUCUGUAAUCAAGUUAAGAUGAGGUCAUACUGGAUUAGGGUGAGCCCAGACUCACUCAGUGGCACCCUCGUAACAAGAGAGAAAUGUGGACACAUAUGCAGAGAAGACAAUGCCACACGAAGGCGAAGACACAAAAGGAGAACAUCCUAUGGAGACAGGCAGAGGAUGAAGGGACGCAUCUAUGAGCCAAAGGACAGCAAGGACUGCCGGCAACCACCAGAAGCUGGCAGAAGCGAGAAAGGAUUCUUCCCAGAGCCUCUGAAGGGAACAUGGCCAUGUGAUCACCUUGACUUUGGACUUCCGGCCUCCAGAACUAUGAAAGAACCAAUUCCUGUUUUUUAAGCCACCUAGUUUGUAGUAACCAGUUACAGCAGCCCUAGGCGAUGUAUAUAAUGACGUUAGUUACUCUUUCUUCACGACUUUCUGUGGACAGGACUAUAUGAGAAUUUCACAUGAUUAUCUCCUUUAAUUCUCACAUUCGAUCUAAAAGGUAGUUAUGCCGACCCCCUUUUGUGGAUGAGGAAAGAACACACUCAGAGAAGUGGAUCGGCUUGCCUAACACUCCCAGAUGACUGAAUUUUCUGCACCAGGCAGUCUAAACGGUGUUUGCCUUAAGCCCAACCCUGGACACCUAUCCAAACAGAAUUCCCAGCUCAGCUCUUCAUGAACGAGCAGAGAGAUUCAGGUACAAUCUGACAGGUACAAAUUGGGCAGGUCUUAGAAUCCCAGCAAUGUGACCUUAAACAAGUUGUUUAAGCUCUCUAGGACCUCAAUUCCCUGAUCUACAAAAUGGUGAAAAUAGCAUCUAUCUUACAGUAUUACUGUAAUGACUAAUGAGAUAGCAUGACAUUUAUGGAACAUAAUGUAAUAUAUAGCAGUUGUUAUUAUUUAUAUUAUUAUUCAACCUCAAAUGAAUGUGCCCUUACCCAUUUUGUCUUUGUGAUGUCCCAGUUUUUCUCCUUGAUACCCACUGUUUCAUCUUAUGAGAUGCCUUUGCCCCUCAUCUCUGCAUAUGAUCCAACCCUACCUAUGACCCAAGGCCAAGUUCAAGAACCGACUUGUCCAGGGACCCUCCCGAAUCUCUCCUGGAAAGGCCUUUCCCUCGUCUUUCAAGUCAGGGCCAUUUACAAGCACUUUCCUUAAAUGGCCCUGCCCUUCCUGUCUUAGGUUAUUCCCUUGAUCUAGGUAAUGGCUGGAGAUUUGUCUUUACGUUUUAAGUAAGAUGUCCUUGAACUACUCAAUUUCCCAGCAUGGAGAAGUCUCAUAGACUCAGUCUGGGGUACCCCUCCGACACAGCCCCUGCACACAGGUACAUUCUCUCUGUGUCUUUCUCCUUGCUGACUUUGACUUUUCUUUGUUUUUCUCAUGGCUUUGUGCAAGAUCCAUUCCCCUCCAGAAGGCAAGGGGCAGAUCGCAUAUGGCACAUCAUUCUGCCCAUCAUCCUCCAUCCCCAUAUCGCCUCUUCCUCAAGCCUUUCUGCAGCUCCGAACACUCAGUCUCUAUGUCAAGCAGACUUACCAAGUAUUUCCUCAAAUAAUAGUAGUUGCAUGCUCAGAGGAAAUCUGUCAGUCACUAAGACUUAUUUACAAAUUUAUCACCAUUUACUAUGUUCUGAGCACCAUUGCAAAUAUUUUACAUGGAUUAACUAGUUCUACCUUCGUAAUAGCCAUAUAUAUCUGUUACUGUUCUUUUUUACAGUUGGGAAAACUAAUGUGCCCGCCACAUUUAAGGCUUGUGAGAAUGCAGUGAGAUAAUGCAGAUAGAGUUUACAGGUAAACCUUGCCGUCAGGCAAACAGCAAGCAUUAGCUGCAUAUCUUGGAAGGUGAUAAGCAACUUGGAAGGAGAAGUACACUAUGAAAUACCACCCAAAGCUGCCUUAAAAUUAAAUGGUAACUUGAUUACGGUGACGGUUGACAACUCUGGAAAUUUACUACAAAUUAUUGAAUUAUACACUCAAAAUGGGUAAAUUUUAUAGCAUGUAAAUUAUAUCUUAAUAGAGCUGUUAAAAACAAUAGGAUGGAGAGAAUAAAGGGAGAAAGUGGCAUUCAAGUUGCUAUGAGCCAGGCCAUUUUAUUGACAAGGGUCAACAGGCACAAACCUGAAGCCUGUGAGAUUUAGAGUCCAUGAUUGCUGGGGAGGUUGGUGGUGGGGAGGGGAUAUGAGGUUCAAAAUACACACAAAUGUGAUGUGUAUCAUCAACAUCGUUACUGAAUUAAAUUUCUCUAAAAUGUAAAUACGUCAGUUAUGUCAAUGUAGCUCCACCUUAAGUCUUCAGGAAACAUAUUUAAUGCAGAGUGUGAAGCUAUUUGAUAUGGUUUCCCAAAGCAAGACUGUCCAGGGUCUAUAAAACCUUAAAAUGCCCUUAGUUUUGAACACUGGCCCUGUCUCCAUAUCCAUGAAUUCCUCAGGCUUAGUGCAGAGGUCAGCAAACUUUUUCUGUAAACGUCCAGAUUGUAAACACAUUGGGCUUUGUAGGCCAUUGGGUCUUGAUUGCAACUAUUCAACUCUGCCAUUGUAGCCUGAAAGCAGCCAUAGAGAAUAUGUCAGUGAAAGGGUGUGGCUCUACUCCAAUAAAAUUACUUAGGAAAAUAAGCAUCUGGCCAGAUUUGGCCCACAGGUUGCAGUUUGCUGACCCCUGGCUUAGCGGUGGGGACGUUAUGCAGGCUUCCAGAAAUUGGAGGUCUGGUUUCAUGACUAACAUAUCCCAUGAAUUUAGCCAAAUCACUUCUUUGGACUUGGUUCUCUUAAUUCUGGUGCUAUCAGGAAGUAAGGGGAGGUUAUUGUACAUCAGUGCAUUUCCUUAGAAACCCAGAAAAUUCCAAAUCGUCAGGCUUCAGAGACAGAACAAGGCAGCUGGGGGGCUGGCUACCUCACUUACUCUCUUUUUUGCUCCAUCUCCGUCCUCUCCUGCCCCCAACAUGUCCUCUUUUGUCUGGGCCACAGCGCAUGAGGCUGCCCCUGCCACAGUGUCAGGGGCCUUUCCAGCGCCAGAACCCCACUGGGCCACCUCUCCUUGAAUCAGAGCCUGGACCACAGGUCUCUGUGGAGCCUAAGGCCCCAUUGCCCUCCAUUCAAGGGUCUGCAUUGUUUAUUCCAGUCUUUCUUUCAUUGGAUUUGGAGAAAGAACAAAGGACGAGAUUUAGUCCAAGACACAGAUGUUUAAGAAAUCAUAGCUAAGUCUUUCUGGGUUGUGUUGUCCCAUAGGCCAACAGGCCCUAAGGCCAAGCAGAGAAAAUAUGGGAAUCUAGCAAGAUGAAGGGGCUGCUGUUAUCAGGUUGUGCUCUCUCUCACAUAAACUUCCUAAGCUUUAGUUUCUUCACCUAUAAAAUGGGGAUAAUAAUUGCUUCUGUAAGUGAGUAUGCGAAAGAGGAGAAAGCAGCAUUAUAAUCAACCCUGGGAGACACAGUAGAGUAGACCCUCACUACAUAGCUGCUGCUUUUACUGCUAUAAAGAUAACGCUGUCUGUCCUGUUUGGGUGCUGUAAUUUUUAUCAAUUUGAAGCAAUUUCAUUAAACAUGCAUUGAGCGUUGACUACGUACCUGAAAUGUCUCUGAGAAGCAUUCAGUCCUGGACACGUGUCUGAGUUCUGUAACUGGUGUUAUUAUUAUCAUCCUAAGUCUGGUGGCUCAGCUCCAGAGAGCUGGGCCAACCCUAAACAAAACAAUCCGACUUAGAGAUUCUUGGCAGGCAGGCAGGCAGAGCCAGAGCCCAGCAACGAAGGUAACACAGCUCUAAAUAGAUAGCUAGGGGACUUUUUUUUUUUCUAUAUUAAACUAUUGAUUUUUCAUAAACUCAGAGCACAAAAGGCCAGUGAAAACAAUCGAGUCCCAGAGCAGAAUGCCAAAAAAAAUGAGAUAGCUCUUUGUCCCUUGUUGGCCGCUUUCAUGAAGCGACUUCCUUUUUUUUUUGAGAUAAAACUCCUUCACUUCUAGGAAGUAAAUGGAAGGAAGGAAGGGAGGAAGGGAAGCAGGAAGCUUCCAGGGAGAUUUUGAGCAAGUUCAUAAGUCUCUCUGGGUCUUAAUCAGUCUCUCUUUCAAGUAUGAUUAAUUUAAAUAAAAUUUACAUUCAAUAAAAUUCACCUUUUGUAGGUAUAGAGUUUGCUGAGUUUUGACACAUACUCACGUAAACACCCCUGCCAUCAAGAUACAGAGAUUUCCUUCACCCUAGGGACCCUCUGUAUCCCAACCCUCUGGGCCAGGCAACUCCCGAUCUGAUUUCCGUUGUCAUCAUGUUGAUUCCAGAACAUCCCAUAAAUGGAGUCCUACAGUGCAUAGCUAUUUGUAUCUGACUGUUUUUACUUAGCACCAUGCUUUUGAAAUCCCUUCAUGUUGUUGCUUAUAUCAGUAGUUUGCCCUUUAUUCAUCACUGAGUAGCAUUUCACUGUGCGGCUAUGUCACAGUUUGUUUACCCAUUCACUAGUUGAUGGAUAAAAUUUGGGCUGUUUCCAGUUUGCGGGAAUCAUGAA